rnacentral:rRNA from 1 species
UGGAUCAUCUACCUUCUAGUGCGGAAUACCGUUGGGAAACCGACGACAAUACCGCAUAAGCUCGAGAGAGGAAAGCGGCUUUGUGAAAGCAAAGUCGCGCUGGAAGAGGAGUCCGCGGCUGAUUAGCUAGUUGGUGAGGUAACGGCCCACCAAGGCUUUGAUCAGUAGCCGGCCUGAGAGGGCACACGGCCACACUGGCACUGAAACACGGGCCAG